UGGGGAAUAUUGGACAAUGGGCGCAAGCCUGAUCCAGCCAUGCCGCGUGAGUGACGAAGGUCUUCGGAUUGUAAAGCUCUUUUAGCAGGGAAGAUAAUGACGGUACCUGCAGAAUAAGCCCCGGCUAACUUCGUGCCAGCAGCCGCGGUAAUACGAAGGGGGCUAGCGUUGUUCGGAAUUACUGGGCGUAAAGCGCACGUAGGCGGAUUGAUAAGUUAGAGGUGAAAUCCCGGGGCUCAACCUCGGAACUGCCUUUGAUACUGUUAGUCUCGAGUCCGAUAGAGGUGAGUGGAAUUCCUAGUGUAGAGGUGAAAUUCGUAGAUAUUAGGAAGAACACCAGUGGCGAAGGCGGCUCACUGGAUCGGUACUGACGCUGAGGUGCGAAAGCGUGGGGAGCAAACAGGAUUAGAUACCCUCGUAGUCCCUGAGCGGGCUGGCAAGGCGCAU
rnacentral:rRNA from 1 species